GACGAACGCUGGCGGCGUGCCUAACACAUGCAAGUCGAACGGAAAGGCCCUGCUCUUGUGCCGCGCUCGUGAGGCGAACGGGUGAGUAACACGUGAGUAACCUGUCCCUGUCAUUGGGAUAACUUCACGAAACUGGGGCUCUUACCGGGUAGGAGCUCUUGCUGCACGGUGGGGGUUGGAAAGAUUCGGCGGUUGGGGCUGGACUCGCGGCUUAUCCGCUUGUUGGUGGGGUAGUGGCGUACCAAGGCUUCGACGGGUAGCCGGCCUGAGAGGGUGAACGGCGACAAUGGGACUGAGAGACGGCGCAGUCGCGUACGGGAGGCAGCGGUGGGGAGUAUUGCGGAGUGGGCGGAAGCCUGAUGCGACGGCGCCGCGUGCGGGAUGACGGCCUUCUAGUGGUGAACCGCUUUGGCCUGUGACGUGGCGUGAUUGACGGUAAUGGGUCAAGAAGCACCGGCUAACUACGUG
rnacentral:rRNA from 1 species